rnacentral:rRNA from 1 species
AGGCAGCAGUGGGGAAUAUUGCACAAUGGGCGAAAGCCUGACGCAGCCAUGCCGCGUGAAUGAUGAAGGUCUUAGGAUUGUAAAAUUCUUUCACCGGGGAAGAUAAUGACGGUACCCGGAGAAGAAGCCCCGGCUAACUUCGUGCCAGCAGCCGCGGUAAUACGAAGGGGGCUAGCGUUGCUCGGAAUUACUGGGCGUAAAGGGCGCGUAGGCGGACAGCUUAGUCAGAGGUGAAAGCCCAGGGCUCAACCUUGGAAUAGCCUUUGAUACUGGCUGUCUUGAGUUCGGGAGAGGUGAGUGGAAUGCCGAGUGUAGAGGUGAAAUUCGUAGAUAUUCGGCGGAACACCAGUGGCGAAGGCGACUCACUGGCCCGAUACUGACGCUGAGGCGCGAAAGCGUGGGGAGCAAACAGGAUUAGAUACCCUGGUAG